rnacentral:tRNA from 1 species
GGGGAUGUGGCUCAGUGAGGAGAGUGCUUGCCUGACAUGCACAAGACCCUGGGUUUGAAUCCCCCAGCUCCA